rnacentral:lncRNA from 1 species
AACAGUCAUCUGUGUUAUGUGAAUGGGGAAAACAGAGCAAACUAGAACAGAGAGCACAGAGUAAUCUGAAUGGGGAGGAUAAAAUUCUGAUGGUACACUUCAUCUGUGACAAACUCUUGAUCUAAACAUAACCAUCAUAAGAAAUUAUGAAAUUCUGUCUAAACCGGAUUACCGGUCCGACCCAAAUGAAAAUGGAAAAUUUUACACUAUGGAAAAUGAGAUCCAUUUUUCCUUUUGGAUGGUUGGAUGGAGUGAGGGAAGUAAGGUUGGAUGCAGUGAGGGAAGGAAGGGGAAGGGUAACCAAUUAUAGUGCAACGAUUUAAUAUAUGGAAAUUUGAGAAAAUUAUUUUACUUUUAUUUUUUUCACUUUAGUUUAAAUUAGAAAAAUAUAUAUUGUAAAUAGGUAAAAUAGGGAUGGUAUUCAAAUGAAUUCUAUUAAGAUAAAAUAUGGAUAAAUUCGAGUUUAAAAUCGGGUUUAUGUAUUGGGUUGUCCAGAAUUGGUUUAUACAAAUAAAUAAUUAUUUACAUUUUAUAUAAUAUUAUAUAUUAUAUGUCAUAUAUUAUAUAUGAUAAUAUGAGAUCAAGAAAAUCUAUUAUCAAGAAAAUAGGGUUUACUGUAAGCUUAGUCUGAGAGGAUGUUUUUCCCUUUUAUUUUUUUUCUAAGCUUAGUAUGAGAGGAAAAUGCAACUCCCUUUUAUUCUUUUCCUUUGUUUGUUAGUGACGUAUAAUGGUCUCACUGCUAGGUGUCUCACUGCUAGGUCACCUGUCUCUACUAUACGAAUACGGACGUACGAAUAUAUUAGAUCUCUACUUUAUGCGUAACGACUAUUUAAUUUUUCUCUGGCACGCAUGUUGGGGGACCCACCAGGCGGAUGGAUUGACCACCUUUCUUCUUCUGGACUAGCGGAUGGAUUGACCACCUUUCUUCUUCUGGACUGGACUUAGAGGAGAUUAAGGCUGAGAUUAGAAGAUGUCUGAUUCGGCCUGAUUGAGAAAUUUGAAUGGGCCCGGUCUUAAAACUAGACGGGCUGGACCAGUCUCACGUGGAAGACUUAGAAGCUUUCAGAUCAUAGGCUGUCAUUGUGGACCUGGCCUUGAUCCGAAAUAGUGAAAUCCAAUGGCCAUCAAUAUAAAUUAAUAAAUUUAAAUUUAAAUAUUUAAUAUAUUUUUUGGAGUUCACUUUUUUAUUUGU